CGGGACACGUGGUAUCCUGUCUGAAUAUGGGGGGACCAUCCUCCAAGGCUAAAUACUCCUGACUGACCGAUAGUGAACCAGUACCGUGAGGGAAAGGCGAAAAGAACCCCGGCGAGGGGAGUGAAAAAGAACCUGAAACCGUGUACGUACAAGCAGUGGGAGCCUCUUUAUGGGGUGACUGCGUACCUUUUGUAUAAUGGGUCAGCGACUUAUAUUCUGUAGCAAGGUUAACCGAAUAGGGGAGCCGAAGGGAAACCGAGUCUUAACUGGGCGUUAAGUUGCAGGGUAUAGACCCGAAACCCGGUGAUCUAGCCAUGGGCAGGUUGAAGGUUGGGUAACACUAACUGGAGGACCGAACCGACUAAUGUUGAAAAAUUAGCGGAUGACUUGUGGCUGGGGGUGAAAGGCCAAUCAAACCGGGAGAUAGCUGGUUCUCCCCGAAAGCUAUUUAGGUAGCGCCUCGUGAAUUCAUCUCCGGGGGUAGAGCACUGUUUCGGCAAGGGGGUCAUCCCGACUUACCAACCCGAUGCAAACUGCGAAUACCGGAGAAUGUUAUCACGGGAGACACACGGCGGGUGCUAACGUCCGUCGUGAAGAGGGAAACAACCCAGACCGCCAGCUAAGGUCCCAAAGUCAUGGUUAAGUGGGAAACGAUGUGGGAAGGCCCAGACAGCCAGGAUGUUGGCUUAGAAGCAGCCAUCAUUUAAAGAAAGCGUAAUAGCUCACUGGUCGAGUCGGCCUGCGCGGAAGAUGUAACGGGGCUAAACCAUGCACCGAAGCUGCGGCAGCGACACUAUGUGUUGUUGGGUAGGGGAGCGUUCUGUAAGCCUGCGAAGGUGUACUGUGAGGUAUGCUGGAGGUAUCAGAAGU
rnacentral:rRNA from 1 species